UUUUGACAAAGGCAAAGCCAUCGAAAGGUGGCGACGCAAAGUCACCGGUCUACAGGCCCUCCUCCGGGGCCCAUGACAGCGGGACCGCCGGA
rnacentral:ncRNA from 1 species